AUUAGGGAACAUCCAAUUCCAAACCAGCAUAUAUAGAUCACACUAUCAAAGGCCAAUAUUAGGCCAUAGUACCAUACAAAUUAAUCCAAGAUUUUGAUAAUUUUCUUGAAUAUAUUAACAUUAUAACAACUGCAGCUUAACUUUGCCUUUUCUCAAUCCCAGUCUUGGGAAUAUCCGAUGCGGAAUUUGAGAUUUCUGCAGGUGAAGUCUCAAUUGUGGUGGUGGGGUUGACAUAUACUCCAAUUGACUUGAGUCCUUGCGUAGUGAAUGAUCCAUGAAACCCACCAAAUUGCCUCCUCUUUCCCAUGUCAAAGUUGAACUCACGUAACUGUGUUCCAAAUGGAGGUUCGCGGUUACCAUAUGGCCCAUACGUUUCUUUGUUGGUAGUAAAUGUUAUUAACCUGACACCAUUGUUGGUGUAUUUACCGCUCACCUUUACGAGGAACUCUGAUGGGCAAUUGAAUUGAACAGAGUAAAAAUUGGGGCCGUGAGGUGCACCAUAUGGAGGAGAAAGCACCGAAGAGCCAUUUUGAACAUACUGAAAUUGAAUGCAACUAAUACAAUCUUCAUUAUGAGAAACGAAAAUUUGGGAGAUUUCACCAUGGCCCUUCUCAUCCCAGAAAGUGACGCUGUCCAUUUUUGUUGGUAGACUCUGUAGCUUGAUCAUCUUGAUAGCAGCAGCUCACUAUUUCGUUUAAACGAAAACGAAAUGAACUCUUUAUUAUCCUGGAAAAUUCCUUAACGAUCAAAAUCAUUAAUCAUCUCAUAUCCUCAAAAAGACAAAGAAAAAUUCAUCUCAUAGCUUUUCAUAUAAAGAAGAAAAAAAGGGAAAUUUUAUUAAGAUGAAGCAAUGAUUGACUUGCCGAUUGUAACUAUCCUCUUCUUUCUCUUUGAUUUUCCUCUUCAGUCUCUCCCUUCUCUUUUCAUUUAAUUUUCACCUUCUGCAAGAAUAUAAAUCUUUUCCCAUGCAUUUUCUCUCUUAUCAAUUUAGAGCUCUCUUAACUUUUCUUGCUCUCUACUCUUUUUGUUGUUCCUUUCUUUAUUUUUCUUUCUCAUUCUCUCUCUUCU
rnacentral:misc_RNA from 1 species